rnacentral:rRNA from 1 species
CCCCUUCCCACUGGGAGAAGGGACAACUUCCACCGACGGACGGUAUCAUGUCGGAGGGGUCCACCGUCGGCAGCAACAGGGAACAAUAACCUCCGGCAAGUGGCACUCGGGUCAGCCGUACAACUGCUGACGUGACUCGGGUCGGUUCAGCGGCCCAUCAACACCAUAGGGCUGACGUCAGCACCUAGCCUCCCCCCGUGUGCAUCACACGCUUGCAUAUUUGGCGCCAAGUCAGGACUCCCUAUAAAUGUCCCAUCAAAACACUGUUCAUGGGACCGCUCUUUGGUAUCUCUCCGACCCCUCUCUUCAGCUUACAGUUUCCUUCUCCAACCGUUGCUGACUUAGCCAUCGGAGGCCCCUCUCGGUCACUGCCGACCGGUGGGCACUAACCCCUGUUUUGCAGGAGCCAAGUCGGUGAUCCCCUCUUCUCUUAUAGGUGACCGCGCAGACAGCCGAAGCACACUUUCUCAGUCGUCCGGCCAGCAUCCGAAGGGCCCGAGCCACCACACUACCCAAUGUCAAAGAAAAAAAAAGAUAAGAAACAAAGUUUUAUUCUUUCGAAGUAGGAAUUACAAAGUGAUGUCGUUUCUUUCACAUGUUCCAACAAGCUCACCAACGCGAGCAUUGCGAUGGUCCUUACAGAUGUUCAUACAAUGUGAUUUUUAUCUAGUGCUCUAAAUGUCAAAGUGAAGAAAUUCAAUCAAGCGCGGGUAAACGGUGGGAGUAACUAUCACUCUCAUAAGGUAGUCAAAUGCCUCGUCAUCUAAUUAGUGGCGCGCAUGAAUGAAUUAACGAGAUUUCUACUGUCCCUGUUUACUAUCCAGCAAAAACACAUCCAAGGGAACGAGUUUGACAGAAUCAGUAGGAAAAUAAGACUCUGUUGAGUUUGACUCUAUUCUAACUUUUGUGAAAUGACUUGAGAGUUAUAUGAUAAGUGGGAGUUGAAAGGCAAAAGUGAAAUACCAUUAUUUUUAACGUUAUUUUACUUAUUUUAUGAAUAGGAGGUGGGGGCACUACCCCUAUUUUUAUAUCAAAGACUUGCAUCUGUGAGACGAUCCAAGCGAAAGACAUUGUCAGGUGGUGAGUUUGGCUGGGGUGACAUAUCUGUUAAAAGAUAACGCAUGUGUGUUAAGACGAGCUCAACGAGAAUGAAAUCUCGUGUGGAACAGAAGGAUAAAAGCACGUUUGAUUCUGAUUUCCAGUACGAAUACGAACCGUGAAAGCAUGGCCUAACGAUCCUUUAGACUAUUGGAAUUUGAAGCUAUAGGUGUUGGGGUCCGAACGUAAAGGGAGGCCGGAGCCACGACCUCCUCCAGGAGGACCACCGCUCAGACCCGCCAGCAGGUGGCCAAACAGAUCAGAGCCGACGGCAGUGCCUCUCUGGGGCUCUCUCCGACCC